UCACUCACAAGUUUGAAUAGUCUCUUUUUUCUCAUCACCUACACAUAACACACACACACACUUUUGAGGUCUUCAGGGUUGUAGCUUGGCUUGGGUUAGGGUAUGGAUUCACAAAAAAGGAAAACAAGGGGAUUUUGGCUCAGAGUCGAUGUUAUAUCCUGUGUUGGUUUCUUUUAGUUCCUCGAUUUUCUUUUCUUAUUUCUUGAAUUUUUACCGACUACCCUUUUCCGUGCUUCUCUCUUCUGAAUCAUCGCGUAUUUGAUUUUUAU
rnacentral:lncRNA from 1 species